GCACUGCUGCGGCCUGUUCAGCUACAGCGACUGGAACAACCAGUUCCCCGACUCCUGCUGGUGCCUGCCCAGUGAGGAGGACCAGUGCAGCCGUGUGGAUAACCUGAGAAAUUCCUUCUUCAGUUACGGCACGGCGUCGGUCUACAGUAAGCCCUGCUUCCCCAUCCUCAAACACUACAUCCUGCUGGGCGCCAACGUCAUCAUCGGCUUCUUCUUCACCCUGGCAUUUCUGGCCGUGAGUCCCUUCAGUCAAACACGACAUG